CAGCAGCCACGGUAAUACGUAGGGUGCAAGUGUUAAUCGGAAUUACUGGGCGUAAAGCGUGCGCAGGCGGUUAUAUAAGUCAGAUGUGAAAUCCCCGGGCUCCACCUGGGAACUGCAUUUGAGACUGUAUGGCUAGAGUGUGUCAGAGGGGGGUAGAAUUCCACGUGUAGCAGUGAAAUGCGUAGAUAUGUGGAGGAAUACCGAUGGCGAAGGCAGCCCCCUGGGCCAAUACUGACGCUCAUGCACGAAAGCGUGGGGAGCAAACAGGAUUAGAUACCCGAGUAGUCCCUGUCUCUUAUAC
rnacentral:rRNA from 1 species